UGGACUAUAAACAGUUUUACACAUGUUCCGUACAGCUAUAAAGGGUUCUCCAUAGCUUCAAAUGAUUCCACACAGCUAUGGAGGGUUCUAUACAACUGUAAAGCUUUCUACACAAGUUCUCCAAAUAUAUCUCUAUACAGGUUCUUCAAAGCUCUAAAGAGUUCCAGACAGAUAUAAAGUGUUCUACAUCUUUGGAGAGUUCUACAGAUGUACAGGGGGUUCCUCAGGGCUAUAGAGGGUUCUUUACUGCUACGUGGGGUUACAUAGAUUUAAAGGGUUCUAUGAAGUUUCUGCACAGGUAUAAAGAGUUCUACACAGAUGUAGAGAGGUCUACAGAGACGUAAAGGGUUCUACACCAGUUCCACACAGCUGUAAAUGUUUCUACAUUAAAGGGUUCUACAUGGGUUCUACAUAGCUGUAAAGGGUCUACUCAGGUUAAACACAGUAACAGAGGGUCUAAUUAGAGUGAUGCUAAUUAGAGACCAUGCCUCUAAUCACUAUUAUACAUUACUUUCAAUUCAAUUAGAACCAGUUCAGCUACAAGACCAGUAAAUACACAAACUCAGUGAAUUCUCAGUAAAUUAUUGAAGAAAUGUUUGUUUUUGUUUUGUUGCUCAAUGUGUUUUCUGGACAGUAAAAAAAAAAAAAAAAAAAAACUGUAGCAUUUUUUGUAGAUGUGAUCUGCACUGAACUGUAGCUAAAAUGAAUAAACAGAACAUUUGGUGAAUUUCUGGUGAAUUUGUUUAGACCUGUCACAGCCUGCUGAAGUCUCGCCAAGAUAAAUUUCACAUUUCUGUGAAUGCCAAAGGAGUAGCUGCUGAGAUUCUUAACAUGUCUGUAUCUGUACUCAGAGAUUGCUCUCAAUUAAUCUGCUCAAUAAAUAAGAUAAUUGGAUCUCACCAACGUGCAAAACAUCUAUUUAUCAUUUACAAUCACAAUUCCAAAAAAGUGGGAUGGGGUGUAGAAUGUAAAUAAAAGCAGAAUGCAAUCAUUUGCAAAACAAUUCUAAAUAAAAAAAAAAAACUGGAACUAAAGAGAUCAGUUGCUGAAGUUUUGGGAGAGAAAUGUUGUGUAUAUUGUUAAUAAAAAUAUGGCUUCAUGAGAUUUGCAGAUCGUUGCAUUCUGCUUUGUUUACUUUUCUUUUAGAAUAGGGGAUGCAUUUAUCAACACAACACCUGCAUAACACAGCACACUACCAUGCAGUGACAGAGAUAAGAAGCACAAAUAAAGUGAUAAAUCCGAGUCAGCAAUAUAAGAGGAGACACAGUCAGGCUGAGAUUUUUCAGAUGGUUUAAAAGCUCAGGAUCUGCAGGUUUUGCGAAUACAGAGACCAUGCAAGCAGCUGCGUUUCUUACCAUGAUCUUCCUGUUCACCACCUUCGCAAGUGCAGAUCUGGUAAACAUGACCAAUAACCAUGAGAGUAAAGUGAAUUGUGGUGAAACACAUACUCUGCUCUGUGAACUCCCUUCACAUAAGACGGAUCAUGUGAUCAGUUAUUCCUGGAAUCGAGAUCAAGACUUUCUCUGUAACAGCACCUGGGAGAUAAAUAAUUCUAUUCACUGUGAAAAAACGAAUACCUCUUCCUUGCUAACAAUUCAAAAUGUACAGAAAAGCCAUAAUAGCAGUUACACCUUCAAACUGUUUUCCACCUCAGGCCAUUUCAGCUGCCAAACCAUACUCAUCUCAAACUGCAGGAAAAAGGGCACUAUUAGGAGGAUAAGUAGCGCCGGGGCUUCAGAAAGCGAGUGGAUCCAUCUUCUGGUUUCCUUAACAGCCAUUUUGUCAAUUAUUUAUAACAAACUUAUUUAGAAGCAUGAACAUAAUCAAUAUUCAUCAGUUUUCCCCAAAAAAAUAAACUUUUGCAAAACAUAUAGUUUUUUAUUGUAAUUUUGUUUUAUAUGUCUUAUGUUUUUUAUAUUUCUGUCAAGAUUGAUUGAUUGAUUGAUUGAUUGAUUGAUUGAUUGAUUAAUAAAUUUUUCAAAUUAGACAAGAUUUUCCAACGAGACCCUUGUGAUAAAUCAAGGUGGGGAAGCUGUGAAAGAUGAGACAAAACUAUCAAAUGUACUGAGUGUAAAAAUCUGAAUUUAAAUUAGAAUUGUUUUAAUUGUAUACAUUUGUUACAUUAAAAUAAUAAACAUGAAAACAAUGAGUCGUACGUUCAAAUAAUAGAACAAUAGAUGCUAGGCUGUGUAUUAAAUCUACAGUGGAGGACGCUACUGACACACACACACACACACACACACCAUCUUAUAAAUGUAAAAAUUAACUGAUUCACUGAUUCAUGAAUUUGUAUAUGUGGGAUUGAUGAAACUGAUGAAAUUAACUGAAUAAAUGAGCUGAAUAAA